UAAAAAUGAAGAGAUGAUGAAGAAAAAAAAGAUCAUGAUGAAUGUGAAGAACAUGGACCCAAAACUUCAUGAACUUUCUUAGUGCGCAAAUUAGGCUUAGUGAGUUCAUGAUUUCAAAAAUCGAAAUACAAUAGAAAAAAGAUGAACAAAAGCAUCGAAAGAACAAAAGCACACAUGAAUUUCACCAAUGAAUCAAACUUAGAAAAGAAAA
rnacentral:lncRNA from 1 species